UACAGAGGUCUCAAGCGUUGUUCGGAUUCAUUGGGCGUAAAGGGCGCGUAGGCGGCGAGGUAAGUCGGGUGUGAAAUCUCAGAGCUCAACUCUGAAACUGCACUCGAUACUGCUUUGCUAGAGGACUGGAGAGGAGAUUGGAAUUCACGGUGUAGCAGUGAAAUGCGUAGAGAUCGUGAGGAAGACCAGUGGCGAAGGCGGGUCUCUGGACAGUUCCUGACGCUGAGGCGCGAAGGCCAGGGGAGCAAACGGG
rnacentral:rRNA from 1 species